GAAUGCUGAUAGAAUGGUAUUUUUGGAUCAAGAUAGGAGGGUGUGAUAUGGGAACUUCUAGUCCCCCCCUUUCUCAGGAGAGAGCUGUCUUUUGAAGAAAUCCAUCGCACGAAAAGCAGGCGAGAGAGGGGAAACCUGACAUUGUUUGAGCCCCUGCAGUCAGCUGCCAUCAAAGCCUUUGACUUCGCAUGACUUGAACCACUGAAUCAUUUUUUUUCUUUUUUUUUUUUUUUGACAGAGUCUCGCUCUGUCACCCAGGCUGGAGUGCAGUGGCACGAUCUUGGCUCACUGCAACCUGCGCCUCUUGGGUUCAAGCAAUUCUCAUGCUUCAGCCUCCCAAGUAGCUGGGACUACAGGCACCCGCCACCACAUCUGGCUAAUUUUUGUAUUUUUAGUAGAGACAGGAUUUUGCCUUGCUGGCCAGGCUGGUCUUGAACUCCUGGCCUUAAGUGAUCCACCUACCUCAGCCUCCCAAAGUGCUGGAAUUACAGGUGUGAGCCACCACACCCGGCCUGAAUUGUCUUUUAUCUCAAGUUCCUUCAUUGCUACUCAAAGUGUGCUCCACAACCCAGCACAGCCACAUCAUCGGAGAGCUUGCUAGAAUGUUGGGCCCUAUCUUAGACCUACUGAGUCAGACUCUGUAUUUUAAGAAGGUGCCCACGUGACUCACGUCCACGCUAAAGUUUGAAAAAUGCUGAGCUACUUCAACCUGGACUUUGUCACCUAUAAUAGAAUUAAAUCCCCUUCAUCAGUUGCGACAACAGAAACCCCAACUCAAACUUCCCUAAAUCAUUAGGGUAUCUUUGAUUGGCCAGGUGCAAUGGCCCACAUCUGUAAUUCUAGCACUUUGGGAGGCUGAAGCAGGGGCAUCGCUUGAGGCCAGGAGUUUGAGAACAGCCCAAGUAACGUAGCAAGAGACCUCAUCUUUACAAAAAGUUAAAAAAAAGAAAAGAAAAGAAAAGAAAAAGAAAUUAGCUAGGUGGUAGCACGAGCCUAUAGUCCUAGCUACUCAGGAGGCUGAGCUGGAGGAUCCCUUGGGCCCAAGAGCUGGAAGGCUGCAGUGAGCUAUGUUUGCACCACUGCACUCCAGCCUGGGCCAGAGCGAGACACUGUCUCUAACAAAAAAGGAUAUAUUUUACUUAAGAAGCCCCAUGGUAGAGCAGACUCGAGAGACUCAACUGAGCCAAGCAAAGAUCCAGAUUUUCUUCAUCUCAGCUCUGUCAUCCUCAGUGUGGACUUCAUUAUCACACCAUACCAAGGUAAUCAUCAGCAGGUCUAGGCCUGAUCAUGUCUCUAGGCCUUCUUAGGAGUGAUAGAAUCUUUAUUAGAAGCCUCCUAGGCCGGGCGCAGUGGCUUACGCUUGUGAUCCCAGCACUUUAGGAGGCUGAGGCGAGCAGGUCACCUGAGGUCAGGAGUUUGAGACCAGCCUGGCCAACAUGGUGAAACCCCGUCUCUACUAAAAAUACAAAAAUUUGCCAGGUGUGAUGGCGCACACCUGUAAUCCCAGCUACUCAGGUGACUGAGGUAUGAAAAUCACUUGAACCUGGGAGGUGGAGGUUGCAGUGAGCCGGGAACGUGCCAUUGCAUUCCAGCCUGGGUAACAGAGCAAGACUC
rnacentral:lncRNA from 10 species